UAUAACUAUAGCUUCUGUAAAUUACAGUUACAAAGAUAUUGUGUAUGAUAGUGUCUUUAUAAAUAAUAGCUGAAUGUGAAAUAGGUAGUGUAGAUGCCUGCCUGUCUACCCUACCAGGUUAGUGCAUUGGUGCACCCUCCUCCACUAGUUAGUCAGGGUCGAUCGAUACUUCCCUGCCGCUUAUCACUGAGGGGAAUUAACUGUUAAUCCAUACAACCCCCUUCUGGCUACAUAAAGGGAGGGGAAGGGAAAGCAACAUUCCCAAAUGCUGAUUGUCUCUGUCCACACACCUGCACCUCUCCACAGACCUGCGUCAACCCACCAUGGACUGCUGCAAACCGGACUGGACAUGUAGGGCUAACUGGUCUUCACUGAAGAGCCUGGAUGAGACGGUACAAAGAAGGAGACGCAUGCUUUGUCUGAAAUGGCACCACUUGAGCAUACAGGGAAAAUUGUGUUUUUUUGGAUGCACUCAGAGAGAAAGAGAGCAGUCCUGUCCUGGGGCCUACAGAGAGGGAGUGGAACGGGGAGAGGUGCCAAGACGGUCCAACAACAAGUAGUCUCACGAUGCUCCACCUGAUGUGCCUUGCUACUGGAAGGGUAACCGGAGACGCUCACCGACCCAUAACUUCUUUCUUCAUCUUCCCCCUCAAUGAACAAGCCGCCCAGCUGGGAGACAUUAUUUUCUGUCACAUUCCGCACUGCAUCUCUAAGGUGCUACAUGGGGAGAAAUAAACAAUGUUUCAAAUGGUUCAAUAGUCACCAAAGGUGGAGGCUCGGCCCUAACGUAUGUGCUCUCUGUCACCUGGAGCUGCAUGACAAAUGGUCCAGGAACACAAGGAAAGCACAAAGGACAAUACCCAACUUGUAUCUGGACAGGGUGAACUCUGAUGCUAUCUAUAUGGAUGUAUGAUUUCUGUGGUAAUUGUUCACUGAGGAUAACUCUGAUACUAUCUAUAUGGAUGUUUGAUCUCUGUGGUAACUGUUCACUGAGGAUAACUCUGAUGCUAUCUAUAUGGAUGUAUGAUCUCUCUUAUCCUGUAUCCAGUCCAUGGAGGAAGGUUAUAUGAUCAAUUCUCAUUUCCUAGGCUUCUAGACCUCUAGGCUUCUAGACCUCUGGGCUUCUAGACCUCUAGGCUUCUAGACCUCUGGGCUUCUAGAACUCUGGGCUUCUAGACCUCUAGGCUUCUAGACCUCUGGGCUUCUAGACCUCUAGGCCUCUGGGCUUCUAGACCUCCGGGCUUCUAGACCUCUGGGCUUCUAGACUUCUGGGCUUCUAGACCUCUAAGCUUCUAGACCUCUGGGCUUCUAGACCUCUGGGCUUCUAGACCUCUAGGCUUCUAGACCUCAGGGCUUCUAGAACUCUGGGCUUCUAGACCUCUAGGCUUCUAGACCUCUAGGCUUCUAGACCUCUAGGCUUCUAGACCUCUAGGCCUCUGGGCUUCUAGACCUCCGGGCUUCUAGACCUCUAGGCCUCUGGGCUUCUAGACCUCUAGGCCUCUGGGCUUCUAGACCUCCGGGCUUCUAGACCUCUGGGCUUCUAGACCUCUGGGCUUCUAGACUUCUGGGCUUCUAGACCUCUAAGCUUCUAGACCUCUGGGCUUCUAGACCUCUGGGCUUCUAGACCUCCGGGCUUCUAGAACUCUGGGCUUCUAGACCUCUAGGCUUCUAGACCUCUGGGCUUCUAGACCUCUAGGCUUCUAGACCUCUGGGCUUCUAGACCUCUAGGCUUCUAGAACUCUGGGCUUCUAGACCUCUGGGCUUCUAGACCUCUGGGCUUCUAGACCUCUAGGCUUCUAGACCUCUGGCCCAGUAGGCAUCUCUUUGUUCAUGUUUUGUCUUGUAAGUUACCCUUGGGAUCUAUAGUAUAUGCUUAGCAAUGCCUUGUAAUGCUUGUUAAUACCUUGUAACAUAAGCUAUGUGCCUUGUAUGUGAAUCCAUUCAUUUUACAAAAUUAUUAAAUACACCUGUAUUUAGAA